rnacentral:rRNA from 1 species
CCUACGGGUGGCAGCAGUGGGGAAUAUUGCGCAAUGGGCGAAAGCCUGACGCAGCGACGCCGCGUGAGGGAUGAAGGUCUUCGGAUCGUAAACCUCUGUCAGCAGGGAAGAACGGUCACUGUGCUAAUCAGCAGUGAAUUGACGGUACCUGCAAAGGAAGCACCGGCUAACUCCAUGCCAGCAGCCGCGGUAAUACGGAGGGUGCGAGCGUUAAUCGGAAGUACUGGGCGUAAAGCGCUCGUGGGCGGUAGGUCAAGGCAAGGGUGAAAGCCCCGCGCUCAAGGUGGGAACUGCCUUUGAAACUGGCAAACUAGAGUGUGUGAGAGGAUAGUGGAAUUCCAGGUGUAGGCGUGAAAUCCGUAGAGAUCUGGAGGAACAUCAGUGGCGAAGGCGACUAUCUGGCACAUAACUGACGCUGAGGAGCGAAAGCGUGGGUAGCAAACAGGAUUAGAUACCCCGGCAGUC